CGCGGCCUAUCAGCUUGUUGGUGGGGUGAUGGCCUACCAAGGCGACGACGGGUAGCCGGCCUGAGAGGGUGAUCGGCCACAUUGGGACUGAGAUACGGCCCAGACUCCUACGGGAGGCAGCAGUGGGGAAUAUUGCACAAUGGGCGGAAGCCUGAUGCAGCGACGCCGCGUGAGGGAUGACGGCCUUCGGGUUGUAAACCUCUUUCAGCAGGGACGAAGCGUAAGUGACGGUACCUGCAGAAGAAGCACCGGCUAACUAUGUGCCAGCAGCCGCGGUAAUACGUAGGGUGCGAGCGUUGUCCGGAAUUACUGGGCGUAAAGAGCUCGUAGGCGGUUUGUCACGUCGUCUGUGAAAUCCUAGGGCUUAACCCUGGACGUGCAGGCGAUACGGGCUGACUUGAGUACUACAGGGGAGACUGGAAUUUCUGGUGUAGCGGUGGAAUGCACAGAUAUCAGGAAGAACACCGAUGGCGAAGGCAGGUCUCUGGGUAGUAACUGACGCUGAGGAGCGAAAGCAUGGGUAGCGAACAGGAUUAGAUACCCUGGUAGUCCAUGCCGUAAACGGUGGGCGCUAGGUGUGGGGUUCCUUCCACGGGCUCCGCGCCGUAGCUAACGCAUUAAGCGCCCCGCCUGGGGAGUACGG
rnacentral:rRNA from 2 species